CCUACGGGAGGCAGCAGUGAGGAAUAUUGGUCAAUGGGCGCGAGCCUGAACCAGCCAAGUAGCGUGAAGGAUGACUGCCCUACGGGUUGUAAACCUCUUUUAUAAAGGAAUAAAGUGCGGCACGUGUGCCUUUUUGCAUGUACCUUAUGAAUAAGGACCGGCUAAUUCCGUGCCAGCAGCCGCGGUAAUACGGAGGGGCCGAGCGUUAUCCGGAUUUAUUGGGGUUAAAGGGAGCGUAGGUGGGGUGUUAAGUCAGGUGUGAAAGUUUGCGGCUCAACCGGAGAAUUGCAGUUGAAACUGGCAGCCUGGAGUACAGUAGAGGUAGGCGGAAUUCGUGGUGUAGCGGUGAAAUGCAUAGAUAUCACGAGGAACACCGAUUGCGAAGGCAGCCUGCUGGACUGCGACUGACGUUGAGGCUCGAAAGUGUGGGUAUCAAACAGGAUUAGAUACCCCAGUAGUC
rnacentral:rRNA from 1 species